rnacentral:rRNA from 1 species
UACAGAGGUCUCGAGCGUUAGGCGGAAUCACUGGGCUUAAAGCGUGUGUAGGUGGAUCGUUAAGUACCUUGUGAAAUCCCACGGCUCAACCGUGGAACGGCUGGGUAUACUGCCUGUCUUGAGCCAACUAGGGGCGAGCGGAACAGACGGUGGAGCGGUGAAAUGCGUAGAUAUCGUCUGGAACGCCAAAGGUGAAAACAGCUCGCUGGGGUUGUGCUGACGCUGAGACACGAAAGCCAGGGGAGCGAACGGG